GGUUCGAUAGCUCAGUGGUAGAGCGAGAGAUUGCAGAUCUCUAGGUCACGUGUUCGAUCCACGUUCGGACCU